UCUCCUGGAAACGGGUGGUAAUGCCGGAUGUUCCACAUGAGCGCAUGCGAGUGUGGGAAAGGCUUUUUGCGGCAUGGGAUGGGGUCGCGUCCUAUCAGCUUGUUGGUGGGGUAACGGCCUACCAAGGCGUUGACGGGUAGCCGGCCUGAGAGGGCGACCGGCCACAUUGGGACUGAGGUACGGCCCAGACUCCUACGGGAGGCAGCAGUGGGGAAUAUUGCACAAUGGGCGCAAGCCUGAUGCAGCGACGCCGCGUGCGGGAUGGAGGCCUUCGGGUUGUAAACCGCUUUUGUUCAAGGGCAAGGCACGGUUUCGGCCGUGUUGAGUGGAUUGUUCGAAUAAGCACCGGCUAACUACGUGCCAGCAGCCGCGGUAAUACGUAGGGUGCAAGCGUUAUCCGGAUUUAUUGGGCGUAAAGGGCUCGUAGGCGGUUCGUCGCGUCCGGUGUGAAAGUCCAUCGCUUAACGGUGGAUCCGCGCCGGGUACGGGCGGGCUUGAGUGCGGUAGGGGAGACUGGAAUUCCCGGUGUAACGGUGGAAUGUGUAGAUAUCGGGAAGAACACCA
rnacentral:rRNA from 1 species